rnacentral:ncRNA from 1 species
AGCCGAUAAGGGCAAACCCUGGGAAAUCAGGGGGCGCAAAGCCUACGGGCCUAAGUUAUUCUGACAAGCCGUAACCUCAACGAAUGUAAAAGGUUAGUGAGGCAGUCAGGAAUAAUAUGGCGGCUGGGUUGCCGAG